rnacentral:rRNA from 1 species
GUGCCAGCCGCCGCGGUAAUACCGGCAGCCCGAGUGAUGGCCGAUCUUAUUGGGCCUAAAGCGUCCGUAGCUGGCCGCGCAAGUCCAUCGGGAAAUCCACCCGCCCAACGGGUGGCCGUCCGGUGGAAACUGCACAGCUUGGGACCGGAAGGCUCGAAGGGUACGUGCGGGGUAGGAGUGAAAUCCCAUAAUCCCGCACGGACCACCGAUGGCGAAAGCACUUCGAGAAAACGGAUCCGACAGUGAGGGACGAAAGCCAGGGUCUCCAACCGGAUUAGAUACCCGGGUGUCC